AGAGCAAAAGUGCAGCCCUUUCUACCCAUGGGUCCUGGCCCUUUGCUACUUAAAUAGAGGUACUAAGUUGCACCAUACGUCUCAAGAAUUCUUUCUUGACCAUUGCAUUCAACAACCUGAAGACAUUUUUGGUGACCCCACAGGGGGAUUACAGAGUGAAUCCAAAAGCCUUGGUGUGACUUGGAGACCUGACCACGUGCACGGUAUAUAAAGCAUACCGGUGGGAAGAUUAGCUUUACUGUCAAGCAUUGUAAGGGUAACAGGAACACACAUGUGGUUAGAUGGUAAAGGAGCUCAAGAGGAAUUCAUGGUAAUAUGAGGAGUGGGGCCACAACUGCUUCUCCAGUGAGACUUCAAAGUGCAGACAACCGAGGCGAGUGCAACUUAACAUCAUGUAAUAAUUUCAAAACACUACAAUAAAAUAAUAAUGUACCUUU